AGGUACUUGGUGAUGCAUAAAUACCACUUAAAUUACCCCAAGUGUUUGAACACAACAAAUUACAUAAAUUGAAUCAAAUAUAUAUCUUGGCUUUUGAGUACAGGUGUGGCCGCCUCUUGGGAAGAAGAAGUUCGAGACUCUCUCAUACCUGCCCGAUCUUACUCCCGUACAGUUGGCUAAGGAAGUAGAUUACCUUCUUCGCUCUAAAUGGAUUCCUUGCUUGGAAUUCGAAUUAGAGGUGUUUUGGAGCUCUAAAUUAUUCCAUUCCUCCUCUUAAUUUUUUUAGUGGGAUAUUUGAGUUGAUUAAGUGUGUUUUAUAUGUAUGUGCAGGAGGGAUUCGUGC
rnacentral:lncRNA from 1 species